UACGAAGGGGGCUAGCGUUGCUCGGAAUCACUGGGCGUAAAGGGUGCGUAGGCGGGUCUUUAAGUCAGGGGUGAAAUCCCGGAGCUCAACUCCGGAACUGCCCUUGAAACUGCAGUGCUAGAAUCUUGGAGAGGCGAGUGGAAUUCCGAGUGUAGAGGUGAAAUUCGUAGAUAUUCGGAAGAACACCAGUGGCGAAGGCGACUCGCUGGACAAGUAUUGACGCUGAGGUGCGAAAGCGUGGGGAGCAAACAGG
rnacentral:rRNA from 1 species